GAUAGUAGGAUAUAAAGUGAAUAAAUAAAUUUUUAAUAGUGCUACCUCUUUAUAAAAAUAGCUUUACCUUUACUUAAAUCCCAUCCAUAAUAAAGAAUUAAGUGACUUGUGAGAUUGUAUGUUAUCCUAUAGCUUUAAAGAUAUUCUGGCAUUUUUAUAGAGUAUUUCUUUUCUUUUUUUUUUUCUUUCUUUCUUUUUUUUUUACAACGUUUAUAGUAAGGCUUGCAUCAAAUUCAAUAUUUAGACCAGGUUGAUGCCCAGAUUUCCAACCCAAUCAUCUCAGGUGCCAAGAUAAUUCCCUUACCCUCUUAUAGACAGUUUAUAGUCUUGAGUUUCCCAACUUGUACUUUUACAACACAGUUACUUUGUGUCUUACCUAAAUUUAUAAGGAAAAAGAUGUAUAUUGGCAUGGGUUUAUUUUAUAUUUUUAGAUGUUAAAAUUGAUUGUAUUUUUAAUAUAAUUAUAUUAUGAUGCCUUUUUUCAGAGCAUCUGAAACCAACCAGUACAAAAAACCAAAACGCUGAUCUUGAGAAACACCUGUAUAUUUCAGUCAGAUCUACAAAUAAACAUACAGAAAAAGAUAAAAAACAUGGGCAGUCUAACAAUCAAAAGUUAAAGAAACAAGGUGCUUUGACAUCUACCAAAAAGCAGAAACAUAAAGAACAGCCUAAAACUGAAACAAUAGUUGAAAAUAAUGAUAAAUUUGAUGAUAAUCUGAUGAUGACUACCUCUUCUCCAAAUAUCAAAAUCAUUAAAGAGCUAUCUAAAACUUUGAAUUUAGAUGGUGGAGAUAUUGAACUUUCAGACUUUGUGUUCAAGACAGCAUCUGCUGCAAAGAAACUUGAGAAUAAAGGGCCAUCUAAAACCAAAAACUUAAACAAGGAAAGUUCUCAAGAUAUUCAUAUCCUGCACCUGACAACCUCUGCUAUAAGGACACUUUUGUUAGACGAGGAAGCUAAAAUUAGGAGCUUAGAGAAGAAAUUAAUGAAACAAUCAACAAUUCUGCAGAAAUCAGCCUCUUCUAUGAAGAAGUUUAUGUUUAAAGAGCCAUCUAAAGAGACUAAAAAGAAAAGAAAGAAAAGAAAGAAAAGAAAGAUCGUUGUUAAAAGUGCACACAUUCUGCCCAUCACUACUACACAAAAGCACACUAUUAAAGAGAAAUCUAAAAUUAGUAACUUAGAAAAGCCAAUUGUUAGAGGAACAGGUAUUCUGAAAAAGUCAACCUCUGCUCGGAAGAAACGUGUGCUCAAAGGGAAGUCUAAAUCUGCAACAUUACCCAAGAAAUGUGAUAACUUUCCAUUUGAUCUGGUUCGUUCAUCAUCUGACUCCAGCAAACAAGAGGUUGAAGAGCAACCUAAGCCUGGAAAUGUAGACAAGAAAGUUUCUGAUGAUUCUUAUAGUCCGGACAUUUCAACAUCUCCCACAAAGAAGCAUACACUAAAAGGUCAGCCUAAGUCUGAAAACUCUGACGAAAAAGGUAUCAAACGUCCAAAUAAUUUGCACAUGUCUGCCUCUGUUGCAAGGAAGCGUCUCCUUAAAGCAUUAAGUACUAUUCCAUGA
rnacentral:lncRNA from 1 species